CAGUUGAUCUCCUGGGGAGUGUGAGAUUGUUUUGUUUUUCCAAUGGGGGCAGUGAUGGGCCAGACUGAGCCACCCAGCCCCAUUGGAUACCUCAGCUAACUACAGCAAAAGGGGCCUUGGAGCUCCUGGUUAUUGGGGCAUCUCCUGGCCCUAGGUCCUGGGAAGGGAGGAAGGUUUGGAAGAUGAGUGACUGAAGCAGUUGUGGGGUCAAAUGAUUGUCAGAAUCGAAGCCCGUUUCUGCUGGGGAAACCCAGGUUGGAUCUUGGCAGUGUUAUGUGUAUGUGCCCUGUACUUUUCCUUCACUACGACCACCUCAUACCACUCUCCGGCCAUGGACAGACAGGUAUCAAAUGCGAGGCCUUUGUGCAAUAAGGCCCUUGGAGCGACCUGGGGGGAUUGUGGAUCUUUUCACUGUGUGCAAAGGAAGCUUCCCGGCCCUAAAUCAGAAGGAAGCUUGCCAAAUGUCCGACUUCACCAGUCUGCAUGAUAGUUAUUUCCAACCCGCUGCCGUUGGGGUAGCGGUAACAUUGGAAACACUUAGUGGGGGCCUAACAGCGUCUGUGAGCCUCCUUCCUUGGCAAGUGACUUUUAGAGGAGACAUUUUAAGAAGAUUAAAACGUCCACAGCCUUCGAGGGCAGCAGCGUAAUCCACUUACCGUUUUCAUGUCACGAAGAGAGUUCCUUUGAAGCCUGGCGCUCCUGCGGGGCCCCUCCACGGCUGCGGGGGAUGGCGUGGUGUCCCCACCUUCGCCGACGGGCAGGCGGAGCGAGGGAGGCUGUGGGAAAGGACACGAAACCACGAAGUUGCGCGAGGAGGGCUCGGAGUUCGGUGUCGCCAAUUUGGGGCCGCACAGGGUCAGGGGCAGGCUCUGGAGGGGACCCCCUGACGAGGGUGCAUGUUGGCCUGGGCAGGGGAGUGCCCGCCGUCCCGAGGUGGGAUGCCACCAUGCCACCACCCCAGCCGGAGGGGUUUGCAGAGCCUUUUCUAGUUACCGAGCGAGGCCGCCUUGCCCUCCCACCUCUGCUUGGCCCGAAGCCCAGGUGAGGGAAGCAUUGUUCAGUCCGAGGUCGUCCGUGUUUUCAUCCUCCUGAACCUGUUGAAGGAUUUUGCUGGCGGAGAGGAAAACUGCAUUCCUGAACCAGUGCCCGAGGGGCGCUUUCUUUUGCUGCAUUCAAAAA